rnacentral:rRNA from 1 species
CCUACGGGAGGCAGCAGUGGGGAAUAUUGGACAAUGGGGGCAACCCUGAUCCAGCAAUUCUGUGUGCACGAGGAAGGUUUUCGGAUUGUAAAGUGCUUUCAGCAGGGAAGAAGGAAGUGACGGUACCUGCAGAAGAAGCGACGGCUAAAUACGUGCCAGCAGCCGCGGUAAUACGUAUGUCGCAAGCGUUAUCCGGAAUUAUUGGGCAUAAAGGGCAUCUAGGCGGCCAGGCAAGUCUGGGGUGAAAACUUGCGGCUCAACCGCAAGCCUGCCCUGGAAACUGCCUGGCUAGAGUGCUGGAGAGGUGGACGGAACUGCACGAGUAGAGGUGAAAUUCGUAGAUAUGUGCAGGAAUGCCGAUGAUGAAGAUAGUUCACUGGACGGCAACUGACGCUGAAGUGCGAAAGCUGGGGGAGCGAACAGGAUUAGAUACCCGGGUAGUC